UGCAAAUGAUGUUUCUCACGAUGGUCUUCCAAGCCUUGUGGUGGUGACGACACUGCCUAAUGGCAACAACUGAUGCAGUCAU
ensembl:snoRNA